GGCUCAGAACGAACGCUGGCGGCGUGCUUAACACAUGCAAGUCGAACGAACCUUCGGGUUAGUGGCGGACGGGUGAGUAACGCGUGAGAAUCUGCCCUCAGGAGGGGGAUAACGGUUGGAAACGACCGCUAAUACCCCAUAUGCCGAGAGGUGAAAAGAAAUUCGCCUGAGGAUGAGCUCGCGUCUGAUUAGCUAGUUGGUGUGGUAAUGGCGCACCAAGGCUUCGAUCAGUAGCUGGUCUGAGAGGAUGAUCAGCCACACUGGGACUGAGACACGGACCCAGACUCCUACGGGAGGCAGCAGUGG
rnacentral:rRNA from 1 species